rnacentral:rRNA from 1 species
UACGGGGGGGGCAAGCGUUGUUCGGAAUUACUGGGCGUAAAGGGCUUGUAGGUGGCCAACUAAGUCAGAUGUGAAAUCCCUCGGCUUAACCGGGGAACUGCGUCUGAUACUGGAUGGCUAGAGUUUGGGAGAGGGAUGCGGAAUUCCAGGUGUAGCGGUGAAAUGCGUAGAUAUCUGGAGGAACACCGGUGGCGAAGGCGGCAUCCUGGACCAACACUGACACUGAAAAGCGAAAGCCAGGGGAGCAAACGGG